rnacentral:misc_RNA from 1 species
ACUGUUUAUUACAUUAUGGAUUCUAAAACCAGAGCACACAAGGAGACCUCAUCUGAUGUGGUCAUAGCACCGGGAUCCUAGAACUCAAAAAGGAAGAGCCGCCGGGAGAGAGAGAUAUAGCAUGUUAAAGAACCACCGCCAGAAACAUACACGACUAAAACACCUACAUCAAAAAGCAUCAAGCAAGACAAAUCUCCAAGAUCCAAGCAACAACCAAGAAGCUCCAACCAUGACUGUGAGACGCACCAGACCAUGAGAAAUAAAAAACACAGGCUUAUAAGGAAAGAACUAGAAGAGGGAAAGGCAAAGCCCCUAGGACUUCUCAAUCUCUUAUGGCCCAAGGGGGAAACCACUGACUGAAGGCUAACAUUUAAGACCCUUGGAGGUGACCUCCUCCUACAGAACGAUAGAUGACGUCCAUACCCCAUAGCCGAAAAUCCCACCCAAUAAAGGAAAAACAAACCAAACCACCACCAUGCUUAACCAUAGAAAGCAAACUGGCACAAGUAGAUCCAAAGCAGUCCCUCCCAAAUAUCACACCAGAUCUACAACCAAAACCAUUCAAAACAAUAUAUACAUCUGACCAUUUAACGGAAGGAAAACCCACACCACCGGGCUAGGGAAGACACUUCCCUUUCCCGGAGGAUCAGGGAAAGCGGCACACUCAACAAAACAGAAAAAUGAGGACAAUACUCACAAAAGAAAA